GCCGUUUUCUGUGUUUUCCAUUACAAAUAAUGCUAUAAGGAAUAGCCCUGUAUGUAAAUCUGUACACCUACGUGUGAGAACAUUUGUAAGAAAACGCGGAAUUGUUGCAUUAAAUUUUAAUGAAUGUUGUCAAAUUUCCUCAAAUGGCAUUUAUUUGCAUGUGUGUGUGUUCCAAUAACAUUUUAUUUAUGGAAAUUUGAAUUUCAUUUAAUUUUCACACGUCACAAAACAUUCUUUUGAUUUUUCUCCAUCAGUUAAAAUGUAAUAAUCACUCUUAGUUCAGGGGCUGUAUAAAUCAGGUGGUAAACCAGAUUUGGUCUACCAGCCAUAGUUUGCCAAGCUCUGGUUUAGUCUAACUAGUCUAGUUUAAGUUGUAAAAAAAGGGGCUAAGGUUCACCAAUGUUCCCAACUGAAAAGUUUUAUUAAAACACAUGUUUUAGACAUUUUCGAAAUGUUUUGAAAAAACAUUAAGUAAACUUAGUCCACUAAUGCAAGUCACCGAAAAUUUUUUCCUUACUGAUUAGUUUAAAAAACUUUUAUUACAAAAGUCAUCAAUGCAGAUUCUACUCUGACUUUGUAUUAAGUUCAGCCAAAUUUUGUUAUGUGAGAUCAUCCUUUAGGUUAUUUCAGCUUGUGAACCGCCAUACACUACAGCUUUCUGCCUCCACUAAACACUGUGAUGGAGGUGGGAAUGGAGGCCUUGGAGGGAAAGCAGAAGGCAUGGAUUUGGCUUCUGGUCUAUCUGAUUUUGCUUCAAGAUUCAGAGAUGUAUAGGUUUAUCACGCUCUCGCUAAACUGAAUGACUUCAACCCUUGGUGUCCCGUUUCCUUGUUUUUUCAUGUUCCUUGAAGUCUUGCCUUGCUGUCUUCACCCCUGAAGAAGCAGUCACCUCCUCCAUCAAGCGACUGGCUUCAGGAGAGAAACACACACCUUGGGUCACCCUGUGAGGGACUGAGGCGUUCUCAGACCGUUUCUGUGGCCACGUGUGCUCCACACUUCUUGUUCCUUCUUGGGAGGGAAUUCUUAAGGUUGUCUGCCUUCUCUGGAUGCUGCAGAGCCAGGCCGGUGCGGGCAGCCUCCCUUUUGCUUUCUCCAGGUCCCAUUGAAUGCUGAAGUUUGCAUACUUUCUCUCAAUCCCGCUCACUAGCCAUCUGCGAAGACUCACCAACCUUGGGUGGGGGUCGGGUGCGCACCCACAGCACCGGCCAGGGGGUGGGGGUGUGGGGAGUGAGAUGUGUGCAGCACUGGGGUGUCCGUGGGCCGUCUGGGGAGAUCCGCAGGCAAGCUGUCCCCAGCAGCUUGUGGGUGGGCUUCCUGAUGGAGUCCGCAAAGUGGCUGGUAGAAUUGUCCUUUUGAAGCCCUCCGAGUGCCCGGGCUGCCUUCUCCCAGGCCCCUCCACCCCCCCACCGGUCGUGCAGCACACCCGGCGUUCUGGAUGCGGGGAGAGAGAGAAGUGGGCAGGCUGCCCUACAGUUGGGGAAGCCAGACGCUCACGCCCACGCUCUCACCUCCCCCUUGGGGAGAAAUCGCUGGCGAAAGGGGCUCUGUUGGCUCUGGGCUGUGCGCUGGGGGAGGAGUCACAGGAAAAGUGACACUGGUCCUCUUCAUUGCGUCCAAUCUCAGGUUUUGUUUUGCUCCCACAGUGUGCUGGAAGUUCGCGGGUCUCUGGGAUUCCCACAAAGGUGCUCUUAUCCGCGGAUGAUGGUCAACAUCAGUGUUCGUUGGGGUAAGGCGGUAGAAAACUCCUACUCCGCCAUUUUGAUGGCACCGCUCUUCUUAAAUGACAUUUUAGUAUCACCUGUUGCUUUCCUUUGUCUGUGAUUUGUCUGAUCUAAUUCACAUGAACGCUCAGGAGAACAGUGGCUGGGUUUUGUUCUGUCUUGCUUUCACUUUAAUCAUAAACAAGCAUCUUUGGGGCCCAUUUGGCUACACGACCAAGGAAAGUCACCUCAAAUUUUCAGCCUGUCACUGUCGUCUACACCAAGGCCCCUCCCUGAACUAGAGAAACAUGGAGCAGUGGAAACGAGGGGCACGGCCACGCCUGCAGCCAGGGGCCUCCACCUUCUAGUAGAAAGAGUCUUGGGAGGGGCCUCUGUGGGGCGGCCCCUCUUUUCCAGGUGGCAGCCCCUGCGGCCCAAACUCCCUCCGUCAACCGUCCCUGCCGAAGAGGCCCCCAGAGCCGGUGUUCUGCCCCAGCUGAGCUCUCUCUCAACAAGUACUUCCAAAGGGCUCCACUAAGGGAAGAAAGUAAUCCCCACAAGUUCAAAAUGGAAAAGGACCAGCUUCUUUCAAAUCUCGACUCUUGUUGACUUAGAUAUUAGAGUGGACUGCAACAUAAAUAGAAAUUUGGAGUGUUGUUCUUGUUGUUGUUGUUUUGCUGAGGAAGAUUCGCCCUGAGCUAACACCUGUGCCGAUCUUCCUUCACUUUAUACGUGGGUCGCUCCCGCAGCAUGGCUGACAAGUGGUGUACCUCCACACCCAGGAGCCCAACCAGCGAACCCGGGCUGCAGGAGCAGAGUGUGCCAAUCUAACCACUAGGCCACAGGGCCCUCAUCCUGAAGUGGCUUUUUUUGGAGAAAGUGACUUGUUGAAGGGCAUAUACUUAUUUAAUGACAACUUAUAUUUAUAUAUAUGCAAGUAUAUAUGCAUAAUUUUAUAUUAAAUAUACAAAUAUAAAAUUGUUUUCUAUAUAUUAUAUAAAUGUAAUUUUAUAUAUACAUAUAGACAAUCAUAUAUAAAUAUAUAAUAUAUAAAAAUAUAUAUUUAUAUAUAUAUGUAUGUGUGUAUCUAUAAAAAAUAUUUAUAAUUCCCAACCAGUGUGCCCACAACACCAGGCUGCCUUUAUGGAGAAAAAGCGUGGAUUCUUCUGCGCCUUGGUACAACUUGACAGACGUAGCAGUCUGUCUCUGAGGAACUUAAAUGAGACACGGACAAUGUAAAUGAGGUCCCAGGGCAGAGAUUACCAGUGGCGGGUCUCGCUCUGUAUCAAAAAGACAACCCCCACCGCUUUCAUGGUGAAGCAAACUUGAGCAAGCUUAGACUGCCCCCAGAUCCCAGAUUCCAGACAGGGAGUCGCUCCCCGCCCCAUGCUACUGAGAACAGUUUUCCUCAUUGUGCACUGAUCGUUGUAAGCAGAUCCUGGCACGAGGAGGUCAAUGGCCCUAUCAGAAUGCGCUCCUCAGCCAUUCCUGUGCCGACUCAGAAAAUCUCCUCUCUCGAACGGCAGCCCAACCGAUGAAUAAUUGCCCUCUCCAAGAUCCAAGAGCCAAAAUCAAAUUUCCCCGCACAUCUUGGUCUCUGGCCGCAAAUGUGGUCUGUCUCAGUCUUUCUCCUUGAGAGGAAAAGAUGAGGAAAAUUCCCAUCUUGUUCCAACUCGUCCCCUCUGAUGACUCCAAGGUCGGAAGCGUUUUCCAUUCUGCAUAGAGUAGAUUGAAUCUGUUGACUGAGUUUUCAAAGCGAGCAGGAUUUUUUUUUGACCCAGACCUCUAUCACUCAUUAUUGAACUUUAGACUACUUGAGCACUUUCAGUGCCACCUGCAAAAUAUUUUUUAAAAUGUGUCACAACACGCAUUCUUGGAAAAUGGAAUUUGCUCUUCUUAAGAGUUACUUGCCUGCAUUAUUUUCAACAGUGACUGAUUUUCUCAACCCCUAGUUAAAUUUAAACCAUUCUGUGUUCAUUUUCUCACCUUCAUACCUUUUUAAAGCCAUUUCUCCCACUACUUGGGGGAGAUCCCCCCCACAAUCCCAUCUGAUCUUCAAGUGGUCCCCAACUCUUGCAGCCUGGUGUCGAUAACCUGAUAGUACAUAGUACCUGUACCCCUCAUUUUGGUUCCUAGCUAGACUCUGCCUGGCAUUUCAUAUAGCUAUUUCAUGAGGGUCUAUCUUAUCUGAAAUUACGUUAUAAAUUCCUUGAGAACAAAAAUGUUCAUUUUCCAUCUUCUUUCAUGUGUGUGUCCCUGCUUACCCCUCCCUGCCUCCCAUUGAUCACCACAUACCCUCAUAUGUGGAAAAUCGUACAUUUCUUUUUAAACUUGAAAUUAAAGAUGGUCCCUGACUUACCAUGGUUCAAGUUAAUUUUUCGACGUUAUGAUGGUGGAAAAGUGAUAUGCAUUCUGUAGGAACCCCACUUUGAAUUUUGAUGUUUCCGUGGGCUAGCAAUAUGUGGUAUGGUCCUCCCCUGUGAUGCUGGGCAGUGAGGAUAGCUCCCAGUCAGUCAUGCAGUCACGAGGUGAACAACCCAACACACUGACAGCCAUUCUGUACCCAG
rnacentral:lncRNA from 1 species